rnacentral:rRNA from 1 species
AACGAACGCUGGCGGCAUGCCUAACACAUGCAAGUCGAACGAAGGCUUCGGCCUUAGUGGCGCACGGGUGAGUAGCGCGUGGGAACCUGCCUCUUGGUUCGGAAUAACCACGGGAAACUGUGGCUAAUACCGGAUACGUCCUUUGGCCUUGGCGGCUGGAGGGGAAAGAUUUAUCGCCGAGAGAGGGGCCCGCGUCGGAUUAGGUAGUUGGUGAGGUAACGGCUCACCAAGCCUAUGAUCCGUAGCUGGUCUGAGAGGAUGAUCAGCCACACUGGGACUGAGACACGGCCCAGACUCCUACGGGAGGCAGCAGUGGGGAAUAUUGGACAAUGGGCGCAAGCCUGAUCCAGCAAUGCCGCGUGAGUGAUGAAGGCCUUAGGGUUGUAAAGCUCUUUCAGCGGGGACGAUGAUGACGGUACCCGCAGAAGAAGCCCCGGCUAACUUCGUGCCAGCAGCCGCCGUAAGAC